UGCAAGUCGAACGAGCUCUCCCAAAUUGAUUUUAUGCUUGCAUAAAUGAUUUUUGGAUUCGGAGCGAGUGGCGAACUGGUGAGUAACACGUGGGUAACCUGCCCCGAAGCGGGGGAUAACAUUUGGAAACAAGUGCUAAUACCGCAUAAUUAGUUGGAACCGCAUGGUUCCAACUUGAAAGAUGGCUCUGCUAUCACUUUGGGAUGGACCCGCGCCGUAUUAGUUAGUUGGUGAGAUAAAAGCCCACCAAGACGAUGAUACGUAGCCGACCUGAGAGGGUAAUCGGCCACAUUGGGACUGAGACACGGCCCAGACUCCUACGGGAGGCAGCAGUAGGGAAUCUUCCACAAUGGACGAAAGUCUGAUGGAGCAACGCCGCGUGAGUGAUGAAGGUUUUCGGAUCGUAAAACUCUGUUGUUAAAGAAGAACAAGUGUUAGAGUAACUGUUAACACUUUGACGGUAUUUAACCAGAAAGCCACGGCUAACUACGUGCCAGCAGCCGCGGUAAUACGUAGGUGGCAAGCGUUGUCCGGAUUUAUUGGGCGUAAAGCGAGCGCAGGCGGUUUUGUAAGUCUGCUGUGAAAGCCCUCAGCUCAACUGAGGAAGUGCAGUGGAAACUACAAAACUUGAGUACAGAAGAGGAAAGUGGAACUCCAUGUGUAGCGGUGAAAUGCGUAGAUAUAUGGAAGAACACCAGUGGCGAAGGCGGCUUUCUGGUCUGUUACUGACGCUGAGGCUCGAAAGCAUGGGUAGCGAACAGGAUUAGAUACCCUGGUAGUCCAUGCCGUAAACGAUGAAUACUAGGUGUUGGAGGGUUUCCGCCCUUCAGUGCCGCAGCUAACGCAUUAAGUAUUCCGCCUGGGGAGUACGACCGCAAGGUUGAAACUCAAAGGAAUUGACGGGGGCCCGCACAAGUGGUGGAGCAUGUGGUUUAAUUCGAUGCUACGCGAAGAACCUUACCAGCUCUUGACAUCUUCUGCCAACCCAAGAGAUUGGGCGUUCCCUUCGGGGACAGAAUGACAGGUGGUGCAUGGUUGUCGUCAGCUCGUGUCGUGAGAUGUUGGGUUAAGUCCCGCAACGAGCGCAACCCUUAUUAUUAGUUGCCAGCAUUUAGUUGGGCACUCUAGUGAGACUGCCGGUGAUAAACCGGAGGAAGGUGGGGACGACGUCAAAUCAUCAUGCCCCUUAUGAGCUGGGCUACACACGUGCUACAAUGGAUGGUACAACGAGUCGCGAAACCGCGAGGUCAAGCUAAUCUCUUAAAGCCAUUCUCAGUUCGGAUUGCAGGCUGCAACUCGCCUGCAUGAAGUGGAAUCACUAGUAAUCGU
rnacentral:rRNA from 2 species